rnacentral:rRNA from 1 species
AGCGAACGCUGGCGGCAGGCUUAACACAUGCAAGUCGAACGGGCUUCUUCGGAAGUCAGUGGCAGACGGGUGAGUAACACGUGGGAACGUGCCCUUCGGUUCGGAAUAACUCAGGGAAACUUGAGCUAAUACCGGAUACGCCCUUUUGGGGAAAGGUUUACUGCCGAAGGAUCGGCCCGCGUCUGAUUAGCUUGUUGGUGGGGUAACGGCCUACCAAGGCGACGAUCAGUAGCUGGUCUGAGAGGAUGAUCAGCCACACUGGGACUGAGACACGGCCCAGACUCCUGCGGGAGGCAGCAGUGGGGAAUAUUGGACAAUGGGCGCAAGCCUGAUCCAGCCAUGCCGCGUGAGUGAUGAAGGCCUUAGGGUUGUAAAGCUCUUUUGUCCGGGACGAUAAUGACGGUACCGGAAGAAUAAGCCCCGGCUAACUUCGUG